CCUGUCGCUCGGGAAAAUAAUCCACCCCCAACAAAUCCAGGAUGCCUGGCUUUGUUGUUGCGCGCAGGUUUCCGAAGCCGCACCCUGGGAUGGGAUCAUCUAAGGCUGUACACAAAAGACAAUAUGGAUUGAUUCUUCUUUCAGUUCCAGCAAAGUAAAUCUGAAGCAACUCUACUGAAGUCAAAAGUUCUUAUGAACCACUAUUGAACAAAAACAGCUGGCUCCAAACGAGAGGAGCUCUAUGUUAUCUGCAGACCAAAUAAACUCAGAAUAGUCAUGCCCAAUCCAGGAUGAUGAUGUUAGCUCAUAGCGCUGGUCAUUUAAACAGUGAAUGAAACAGAUUAUUGACAUUAAGGUGAUGAGCUUCCACUAGAGGCUGUGUUUCUUCAAGGCGAGGUGCUACACGUCUUCUAGCAUGACGAGGACUUGAUCUAAAACCCUGUGACAUAGGAAAAGCAACGCACAAGAAUGGCUGAGUCGCUGGAGAGUUAUGCAUCUUUUCUGGAUCUUCAGGCUGCUGAUUCCUAAACUAAGGUGGUGAUUCAUUUUUAACCCAGUACAAUUGAGAGAGAAACCAAACCAAACACAAAACCUCAAUUGGAUAUCUAAAAAUAUAUUAAGAAAUGUUCUUCUACACAGUACUACACCAUCAGUUUUAUUCUACACAGCAAUACAGUUGCCAAGUAGCAUGAAAGACCACACCAUAAAUAUUCUUUCUUAAAAUCGCUGCAUCUUAAAAGUGUCCAACAGAGUCAGUACCAGGUGUUUCAGAAAAAGGCACAAGGCACAACCAUGAAUGUCACACCUUCCUGCCCUGAGCCUCUCACCUUCAUCCCUGCUAGUUACAGAUUUUGAUAAGCCCUAAAUUAUGAGAUCAUAUAUUCUCUGUAAACAUCUUCCUAGGAUUAACUGUCAUAACCUUGGAUAGUCUUGUUAACUAUGUAAGUGCACAAGGCCUUUUUGAAUUAAUAUUCAUUUUGUUUAAACUCCUGUGGCAAUAAGCUCCAUAUUUUCCUUUUAUGUUCUGUGAAAAAAAUAUUUUCUUUAAUCAGUAUUGAAUUUUCCACCUGUCAGUUUCCUACGAUACCGAUUUAUUCUUGGAUUAGGAUCCAGGCAAAACAGAAGCUCUUGCUGCACCUUCACUAUCAUAUUUAUUAUUUGACAUACUUUUAAUGAAUUCCUUCUUACUUGUCUCCUUUCUAAAGUAUACAUCCAAUUCCUCUCAGUUUCUCAUCAUAAAAGAGCUUGCCCAUGUCCCUAAAACCAGUAGUUCUCAGCCUUUUAAGACUCAAGACACCCCUCAUUCGAUUCAAGGCACCCCUCAGAAAAUGACAGCUCUUAACUUUCACUCAUUUUUUUGACUGUGGACAGAUAAUAUGAGCAUUCCUCUGUGGCAGAGAACUCAGAAAUACCACAACAGGUCAGACUAUUUUUGACACUAUCGAUUUCUAUUUGAAAUUUGUAGGAGUAGCUUGUGAAUCAUGUAUAGGUGUUUGCACACCUAACACUGCUAAUCUUAUGUGGCGGCCUGGCUGAAAAUCACUGCCCUAAGCAUUUCUUUUAUGCUUCUCCAAACCCCUUCUAACUUAGCAGCAGCAUUUUUUAGAUGUGAUGCAUUGCACAGGAGUCCAAGGCUGCACCAUUGAUUUAUAUAAUGGCAUUACCCUAUUUUCCAUCCUUUUGUAUUGUUCAUCCUGAUACUUAGGUCUCAGAAUUUAUUUUUCUUUUUGAGCUCAGGUCUUCAAUGAAUCGUAUAAAAUGAAUCCAAGGGCCCUUUCAUGAGAUGGCAGCAGCUAUUCAGACUUUCCCAGUAAUGUACAUUGAUUUGCAAUAUCAACUCUGAACUUCCUAUUGUCAUUACAAUGCCAUUCAUUUAUCUUGAUAAAGAUCCCUUCAGUCUCUUCAGGGUCCAACGUUAUAAUCCAGGGGUGGGCAAAAUGCGGCCCAUGGGCUGGAUGCGGCCCACUAAACCAUUCUAUCCGGUCCACGGGACCCCUAAAAAAUUUAGAAAAUUUAUAUUUAUCUGCCCCUGGCUGCCUGUCAUGCGACCUUUGAUGGCUUGCCAAAAGUCAGUAAGUGACCCUCCGCCUGAAAUAAUUGAACUCAUAACAAUCUUCUUUCCUUUUCAUAUUAUUUUCCAAAUCAAAUGUUUUGAAUAAUACAUUGAACUUUUUUCUUUUUUUCUUCUCCUCCCUACAUUUUCAUUAAUUAUUCUUCUGAGACUCUUCAGGGUAAUUCUGGAAGACCCAAGAAUGGCUACAGUAAUGCUGUAAUACCAAUUCAUUUGUCACUUCAGUGAUUUUGUAUCUCUGUGAGUUCCAUAUUAUCUACAUGUCAUUUUAUUUAUUCACUGAGCAUUUUAACUUCUGCGUAUGUAUGUUUCCUCAGAUGGCAAAAUAGUUCAUUCUGCAAACACUACUGGGAAAGCAAGUGUGUUUAAUAGUGCAAGUUGGACUUUAGAUGCUACUAGCUGUCAAGUAGCUGAUAGCUUCUGUAGAAAAACAUGUAAAGUGCUUUCUAUCUCAUUUUCCUUGAUUAGAGACUACUUGGUAUUUCUCUCCUUGAAACCAAACCAAACAAAAACUACUAUUUUCUUACUGUCUACUUCUUGUAAAUUUUCUAUGAAGAGUGUAUUGGUAGAAGAAAAUUAUAAACUAACCGGAAACUCUGAUCUUGCAUCUGCUAAAUAUAAGCAUGCAUGUGUAUCAUUAAACAUUAACUCCAAGAGUCAUAAGAGCACAUUAUCCAAUGACCAGCUGAAGUCAGUGAAAUCUUUAAUUUCACUGAGCAUUGGAUCAGGGCCCAGGUUAUCUUCUGGUAGAAAUUAAAGCAGGCUAUAAGUAAAAUGCUGUUUAAUGUUAAGCUCAUUCAGGGGACUAAGACAAUAGGGCAAUAAGCAGGCUUAAAGUGGGUUUUCAAAUAUUCUUCCCGACACUUGAGUGAGUCCCUUAGAAUAAAAGGACAUACAAAAAACCUAGAACUCUUGGUUCCAAAAUGAUACCUUUUAUUAGACCAACUGGAAAAUGGCAAGAAAACUGUCCUUUUCUGAAAGCUUUCGGGAUCAAAGUCCCUUCAUCAGGCUCUGGGAAAAGUGUAGAUGGUACAAGAUGGUAAAAAGUACCCAUAGGUAGGAAAAAAACUUCAUUUUUGCACAGAGAGAGCUGAAGAUGGAAGUCUGUACAUCCCUUAGAAUAAAGGCACUUUUCCAAGAGCGCUAAUGAAUAUCAAAAUCAAAGGAAGUGCAGAUAGACUACCAGCUACAUACUGAUUCCAUUAAGCUUUUUGACAGUGGUUAUGUAGACACAGGAAUUGUUAUAUAUUACCAUUGUCAAUUAACAGUCUCAAAAAUAGUCUUUGAAUUGUCAGUUAUUGCUGAUUUAAGGCCUAGAAACUUUUAUGUGUAUGCAACCUAAAAAUUCUCAAGGCCUAGAAACUUAAGCGUGCAUGGCAUUAAAAUGAUUCUCAGGAUGCCAGAGUUCUGGACAAUCUUGGAUAUUGGCCAAAUUGGAAUUAUAUCAUUUUUUUAAAUAUGUACUUGAAGUAAAAAGGUGGGUUUAAUUACAUAACUUCACUAUACCAAAUUCUUAAGCCUACUGAAACUGCAGAUCUUUGUGAGCCUUCCAUCUACUAAGUAAAGUUUAUUAUGUAUAUGUGGGUGUAUUUAAACAAUUAUAUAGCUAUACAUGCACAUAUAUACAUGCAUAAACACAUGUAUACAUAUCCAUGUAUAGAUGUACAUCAGUAUUAUAGGGUGUGUGUAGACAAAACAAGGGCCCUAAAUUGAAGCAGUGGGUUUUAUAAAACACCACUUCAAUUUAGGGUUGAUUAAAUCCCCGUGUCAUGCACACACCACACUGACUUACCUGCCUCUCUGGCAGGGAGGGGAGGGGGAGCUGCCGGCAGGCGAAGCGGCCCCUGGGCUGCAGGGGGGGCAGAGACUGGUUCUUCCCUCCGCAGCAGUGGUGUGUUUCCCCCACCCACCCCAGCAGCACCUGCCCGCAAGCACCCGACUCUGGCAGUCCUGGGGGGUACCACAGCUGCGGAGGGAAGCACUGGACCCCCAUACAGCUCAGGCAGGUAAAGCGGCGGGGGGAUGAUCAGGCUCACCCCUUUUCUUGGGCGGAGCCUGCUUUCCCAGGCUGCUGCCAGGCCACCUGCAGGGCUUCCUACCGCGGCUGUAGGGGCAGCAAACCAGAACUCCUUGAAGGAGUUUUAGUUUGCUGUACCCCGAGUCAUUUAAGGCGCAUUACGCCGCCGAAUUUCCUACAGCAGCUGGAAUUAAUGCGCAAUACGCCGCUGAGGCAUGCAAACACUGACACCAUUAAACUGGUGCAAAAGCAUUUAGCCCACUUUAAAGUAUCAUGCACACACGCCUCUCGUUUCGUCUACACAUGGCCAUAUAUACUAAUGUCUGUAUCUGAACUAAAGCUAGUACAUUGAUGUACCACCAGUUUGAUGUAACUGGUAUGUACCCAUUGUAAAGGAGCAGUUGUAUCUGAGCCAUAAAUUUUUAGCUGGUUCAGCUAGUUCUUUAUUUUCUUCAUCUUUCUUAAGGGUCACUCCAAAAAUAUAAGUAAAAUCUAAAAAAAAUUAAUGUCAUACACGGCAUUAUUUUCUUCCUCUUCCUUGAGCAGCUAGAUCGCCUCAUGUCUUCUUAUUGAGCCUUUAUGCUUAUCCCAUGAGGUUUUUCUUCCCUCUUCUAAAAUUUCCCACCAAAGGAGGAACCUUUCCCCAGUUUUUUCAUAGACUCCCUGGUACUUUGCAAUAUACAAUAUCAUAUUUCCCAGGUAAAUCCGAAUGAUCGAAAAGGUUACAAGUACUUACGUUUUAUAUAAGGCUCCUACCCUACACCCUAGGUAACCAGGUCAGCUGCAUAAGACUCAGUCAGGCUCCUGCCCCGAAGCCCUCAUAACUCGGUCAGCUACACUUGAACUAACUGAGGUGAACCGACUCUCCUCCCUGCCCAAACCUUUUCCUCCGAUUUAUUUUGGGGCUGCUUUUAAGGAACUCCUACAGAACUUGAGCCUUGCAGCACAAACCAUCUCCAGUCCCCAAGUAGCUCCUGCGUGGCAACGUUUCUGGCUUUUCUGGUUCCUGAUCCUGCCUUUGGCUUGUUCCUGGAUUUUGGCUUUGGAUUUCCCUGUAGAUCUGUUUCCUGCCUCUUGACCCCAUUUUGGUUCUGUUCUUGGACCUCACCCAGGAGCAUGCAAAUGAAGGCUCUGCAUGUUAGCCUCUUCUGUCCUCAGAGGAAAGACAAAACCUCAGGAAGAACCCUGCACCACAUUCAGGACUGUAGAUAUGAAUUUCAGAUGUAAUAAGUGUGGGAUGGACUGUCAUUUAAGAAUUGGACUCUAUGGCCACACUCAUGGAUAUUCAGUGAGGUGAUGCCCCACUCAGUGCAAAUAUAUUACCUCACAAGACAGACAGAUGCCCAUAUAGUCCUUGCCCUGAGUACUGUCCCUCAGAUUUGGUAACUAGGCUUCUGAUCCUGAUAUUUACUUGGUAUUUGGUUCCUGACUCAUUGCUUCUGACCCCCACCCCAGCAAUCUCCAGCUCUAUUCACUAGGCCAGCCAUCCCAGUGGACUGUGACAUUUUAUAUAAGAUCAAUUUUCCAAUUUAAGAAAUCCAAUAUAACAUCAAAAUUCUGCUGACAAAUGCAAGGUGCUAUACCUCAAAGAAUAAUCAAAAGCAGAAAUACAAAAAUAAGUGAUACCUCACUGGAUUGCAGCACUACAAAGCAGAAUCUAGGAAUCCUGAUGGAUCACAGACUCGAUACAAGCCUGCAGCAUGAUGCAGCUGAACAAAAGGCUAAUGUAGUUUUGGGCUACAUUAACAGAAACAUUAAGUACAAGACAUGGGGAGUGAUAAUGCCUCUUGACUCAGAACUAGUUAGGCCUCAUCUAGAGUAGUGUGUUCAGUUUUGGAUUCCACGUUUUAAAAAGGACAUAGAGAAGUUAGAGAUGGUCCAAAAUUGGGCAACAAAAAUGAUAAAAGAGCUCAGAAGGCAAGCCAUACGAGGACAAGUUGAAAGAAAUAGGCAUGCUCAGCUUGCAUAAAAAUGAAAACCACACAAGAGGAGACAUGAAAAUAAUCUUCAAGUAUCUGAAGGGCUGCCAUAAAAAGUAGUAAAACACCUCUCUUGCUGCAGAGAGCAGGACACAGACCAAGGGCUUGAAGUUGCAGCCAAGUAGGUUUAGAUUGUAAAUCAAGUAAAACUUCCUGGUAGAUCACUAAGGCAGUGAAAUAGCCUGCCAAGGGAAGGUGUGGACCCUCCAUCAUGGGAGGUGUUCAGGAAGAGACUGCAUGGCCACUCAUAGGUGGUGGAAGGCCAAGGCUAACAGGGCUUAUGCCCCCAAAACCGAGGCGGUGACAGUAGCUCCAGCACCACCACUGCCGCAGCGCCGCACCCAGAGCCCCCGUCACCAUGUGCACAGCACCAGGCAUUCCAGCCCUGUGGAACAGCCCUGCGGGAGGAAGGGGCGGACUCAGGCAAGCGCGCUCCGCACUGCUCAGACCCUGCAAAUAAUAUUUUCUAGUGCCACUUAUGCAGCCGCUGGUCAGAGAUGAUCUAGGGGUAGCUAUGCCUAUAUUCCACUAUGGGUAUUUCUGGGCUUUGCUGGUUGCCAUAUGGGCCCAGAAAGGAACUUUCCCCUGUUAUUGCUACGUAUGUCAGGAAGGGACAUUUUAGCUUCCUCAGAAGCAUUGGACAUUGGCUGCAGCCGACACUGGGGAUUUUGAUUGGGGUGUGCCCGUUUGCCUGCUGGGACUUUAACCUGAUGGUUCCUGACGAGGGUCUCACUCCUCUGCUCACGUUCAAAGCGACUGCCAUAUCUGGAGCCAGAAAGUAAUUUUAUCCCAUGGUCAGUUUGGUAUAGACUGUAGGGGGUUUUAUCUUCCUCUGUACUGGGGGUGUGGCUCUCUUCCUCGGAUCUCAAGUAUAUUUUAACAACCCUCACAGCAGCAGGACAUUGGCCACUGUUGUCCCCCUGCGGCAGGUUAGGGUGUCUUGAUGGUUGUGUCAGGAUUGACUGGGUAGUUUACAAAUAGGUUAGACAGUGGAUUGUGUAGGAUGGUUUGGAUACAGAUGUUCCUGCUUCUGGCGGGACGGGGGGCACUAGAUGACCUCUGAAGGUCCCCUCCAACCCAACCCUUCUAUACUUCUAUAAUUUGAUUAGCCUAAUUAAUAACUCAUACUAAAACACAGAUAGGCGCUGUAAGUAAAGUGCUGCCUAAAUUACCCUGAUGUAGCACAUAGUGCAUUUACCAUUAUAGAUUCCACUCCACUAAGUGAACCUACAAAAACAGUCACAAUAGAAGCUUAAGUGGGAUAUUUUUUCAGGUACAGAAUGGUAUGUACUGUAAAGCUUUAAUCUGCACUGGCAUAAAUUAGAAAUAUUUACAAUGCUACUCACUGAAGGUCAAUAGAAUUUUAGCAACAAGAAGUGGGUCUGAGCUGAGUAUCAGGCCUCAUGCCUCCAGAAAUCUUUAAUGAGGCUGAUCUGAAACUCAGAAUCAAUGACAGUGUGGUACACUCCACCCUAAUCACACAUUUCCAUAUUUAACUAUCUUUAAAUUAACCUAAUGACAAGCAAGUAGCUGUUUGGGUUUGUCAGGUUUCUUCCUGCCCAAUAAGAACCUAAGAGCUGGUCUAUUCAAAAGGAAUUGUUAAAAUUCUCAUGGGUAAGAGGGGUUUACUCUCUCUUUUUCUUCACAGCUUUUGUUCUGAUCUAUUCACGUUCCUUCCCUCUUUUACUGAAUCUAUGCAUCAGGCAUUGGAAGCUUCAAUUAAAUAAUUUAAGGGAAUUAGACAUCAGAAACGCAAAUGUUGUGGUACAACAGCCCCUGAUGUUCUACAAGGAAUUUAAAUGGUUUAGGGUUAAGUUCACUUUAGCCUUGCUGGUUUAACUGGGUUUCGGAGAUUCCUGGUAUGAGCAAUGAACCACCCAUGAAGGAUUCACCAUUAAGAUACAGGCUUUUAAAAAUUAAACUUGGAAUUUCAUAUGAUAAAAAUAUAUUGGGAGAGGGGAUCAGUAAGGUUAUUUCAAACUUAAUGCAGAAUGAAAAAUGGAUAUGAAUAAUAUAAACACUAACCACAUCCAACGCACUGGUCUCAAGAACUAUGUUCCACUUGAAAGUAUUUCUUUCAAGUGUGCAGUACUUUCCUCUUGAAAGCAAUUGAUGAGAAAGUUAUCUCACCAAGUUGCAAUGCUCCAAUUUACAAAUAAUGGAUGCCCUCUCAUAAUUCUGUCAUGAGUAAAAUAGGCAACUGACCAGGGAUUCAGAAGGCAUAUAUGGGGGUCACUUUAUCCUAGCUGACCAGUAGAGAGAGACAUUAAACCACUAAAGACAAUAACAUCAUUAAGAAAAAGCAUUAAUGGAACAAAAAAAAUAAAUUAUUUUGAAGUUGAUUCUACUGUAGUUCCUAUGUACUGACUCCAUAUGGUAACAUAAGGGUCAAGAAACAGGAUGUGGAGAAGGCUGAAAUGACAAGUCUAUGGAAGAAUGGUUUCCUAAGAUUGUAUUUUACUGUGCCAUCAUCUAGGGCAUAGAACUGAUAACUAUUAUACCAAUAGUGAUUGAUGCAAAGCCAAAGUUGGUGCUACAAUCCAGCUUUUGUACUGGUUUUCAUAUGCUAAUAGAAGGAAAAAGUAGCAAGAUUUUUUUUUUAAAUCAGUAAAGAAAACAAGUUAAAUGUUGAAUACCCAUGGGAGCACACCUUCUAAAAAGAGAGAGAAAUGUAAUCUAUGUAAAGUCACUUUCUGACUAGAUCAGUACUUUAAAGCAUACAAUGUUAGUAGGUACAAAUCAGAAGGUAAUGAAGCCUUAAGCAUUGUAGAAUUCUGUUCUCCCAGGAAGAAAGUGUCAGGAUAAAUAUAAUAUCUCAUCCUGAUACUGUUACACAUUUUAAUUUAUUUAUAUUGUGUGGAAAACAUACAUUUUAGUAAAAAUUCCAUUUUGUUUGCAGUUUACUCCACUUGUUAACCUUGCUAUCCUAGAGCUGAGUGGUGCAUUUAUAAGGAAAGGGUGGUGAGUGGAUUACUGUGAUAAGAACACUGGCACAAUUGGUUGGAAAUAAGUCUUUAUGUAAGUGUCAUCUUCAGUUAGUUUUUCUGGAUGAUGCAUAAAUAGUUGUUUAUAGAUUUUGAGCCAUAUAUAGUCCUUAAGCCACACACGUUUCCCAGGGUGCCCAUAUAGUUCUGUGUGCUUGCCUGAGAGAGGUAGUUUAGUUACUGCAUAGGAGACAUCAGCCAUUUUAAUUUGCAGUUCCCAGCUGAGGUUAGGACAGCAAGUAUAAACAUUACAAGUAUCUAUUUAGCAUUCUUAGCAUUUGCAGUGCCCAUUUUUUUAAAAACAAAAGAAGGAGAACCUGGGGAAUCAGAGGCUACUCAGCUUGACUUCAAAGCCUACAAAGUCACUAGAGAAAAUUAUAAAAUAUUCCAUGUGUACAUUUUUGUGGAUGAGGGGCUAAUCAUUAGCUGCCAACGUAGAUUUGCUAAAAACAAAUCAUGUCAAGUCAACUGAUUUCUUUUUUUGACAGGAUAACUGGUUUGGUAUCCAAGGGGACUCGAGAACCGAAAAGGGAAUGAAGUAGACAUAAUAUACCUGGAUUUCAGGAAUGUUUUUGACACCGUCCCAUAUACCAUUCUCAUGUAUAAUUAGGAGAAAUGUGGAGGAAUUGCCUCCAUUAGGUGGAUACAUAAUUGGCUGAAUGACGAGAAAACAAUGGUGAUUACUGGAUCAAUGUCAGACUGGCAGGAGGUCUCAAGUAGAAUCCCACUGGGGUCUGCUCUGGUUCCAGUGCUAUUUAGCAUUUUUAUUAGUGAUCUGAAUGUAGGAAUAAUGAUCAGAUCUGCAGACAACACAGAAUUGGGAAAGGCUGCAAACAUUUUGAAAGACAGGAUUCAAAUUCAAAGGCAUCUUGACAAAUGGGGAAGUGGGCUAUAGGCAUAGGCAUGAAAUUCAGAGAUAAAUGUCAGGUUCUGUCUGUGAGGUAAAAAAAACAAACGUACCAAUAUAGCUGUAUUUGGCUUGACAGUAUAACUGUCAUGAAGGAUUUGGGAAUUAUGAUAGACCCCAUCUAAAAAUUAAUCAGGAGUGUGAUUCUGUUGGAAAUCAUGAAAUAUUAGGAAAAAGAUCAUAACUUUAAGAACAGCAAGGCAGUAGAGCAAGGUGCCCAGGGAAGUCGUAGAAUCUCAUUCAUUGGAGGUUUUCAAGGAGAAGCCAGAAUCCUAUGUCUGUGCAAGGGGCUGGAUUAGAUGAUCUUUGAGGUCACUUCCAACCCUAUGAUACUGUGGUCACCUGACCACAGUAAAGUCCUUCUCCUACUAUCUGAUUUAAUCAGGCAGACCAACUGGAGUUCCUUUAAACUGUAAGUCUACUUGCGAGUAUCAAGAGCCUAAAGACCUUGUUCCAUGUUGUAUUUUGAGCUGCUCAAAUGCUGAUUAAUGUUAGUGCCAGCUCCAAUAUGGAGCAGUUACACAUUCAAGCCAGAAAGGUAAGAAUCCUCCCCCCCCACCCCCGACUGGGCUUCCCCUCUGCCCCCUUGCCUCCCCCAGCUCUCCCUGUUCACUCCCCACCAGGGCUCCCCACCCCGUCAAGCUUCCUCAAAACUUGGGGGUGGUAGUGGGGGGGACAAUAGAUCCAAUCUGGGCCAGCCGGGGAGAGGGAAAGUAGGGUGGUCAUAUUAAAUGUGUAGCCUAGUGGUUACACAUUAGUGUAACAUGAACUGGGUAGCACAGUUCAGAGACAUGUAGGCUGGAAGGGCGUAAUUUCUAAGCCUAAAGAGUGCUUAAAAAACUAAUUUCAUGUGUUAAUGUGUGGACAAUCCAGGGGUUAAGAGCUUCAGGAGCCACCCAAAAUGAAUGUGUAACAAGGUCCUAAAAUGCAUGAUAAAAUGUGGUACAACAAACUGAGGUUUUAACCUCAUCAAGCUUAUACAUGUCUAGCAACAGAGCUAACAGGAUUUGGAAAGAAAACCACCUCAGCCAUUUCUGCCAGACACUGGAGGGCACUUUAUAUAGCUGUAUUAGUGGAACACAAAAUAACAAGGUGAACUGCUAAUUAUGAGCAACAUCCAUUCUCCUUCCAAAGCCACUGUGUACCCUGACCCGCAGAGAGCCCUGGGACUCCACUACCCAUGAAAGAUGCUCCUGUACGCAGUGCCAAUUGUCUUACAGACUGCUGUGGCAGUACAGCAUGCAAUGUCAAUAUUGUAAAUAGGACGCACUAGAAUUACACUUCAGUGUGCUGUGAUCAGGCUGACACACUGACAGUAAGUCAGGAGAGAGCUGCAAGAGGCCAGAUAAAAGCACAGAGACAGAGUAGGUACUAUAUGGUACUGCAUAGAAGACAUACCUAAGCUAAAUGAACUAAAGUCUAGAUGAACUACCUUAGGUAUCUCCUCAAUUUUAAAUUGUAGAACUAUCUAGAAACAGAAGUACAGAGCUUUGUGCAGGCUGGAAGCAGUCAGAGGAAAUUCUUGAUAGAUAACAAAUGUUCCUGGUCCCUACCUAGGCUAUUUCAUGCAAGGAAACAAUUUGACUCCGUACUAGAAUUAUACUGACAAUGGCAGUGCCUUAUGGCCAUAAUCACAAUCAAGGUUCCUCUGCCAUAGUUAGGAUGAAAACACGGAGUUUACAGUCUAAAAUACACAAGGUUGAGCUACAGUAAUAGAUGAAAAAACUUACAGGCAACCCCCGCUCAGCACUCUUAAUUGGUUCCUGAAAAACUGAGCAUUAAGCAAAACAAGCGUUAAAUGAAACCAAAAGUAUUUGAUGACCCAAGCUGGUGACUGCAAUUGUUUUUAAUGACCCAAGAUGGUGACCGUGAGUGUUAUAACGAAACUCGCUGAGCGCGAAGUGCCAUCAGGUAUCAAUUUAAAAUAAGCGUUAUAAUGAAAUAGCACUAAGUGAAACAGCGUUAUGCGGGAGUUGCCUGUAUAAUAAGCAAAAUGUCACCAGUACAUAACCUAAUUAUAAGGAAAAUGUCAUCCUUUAUUUGUUGUAUUGUCAAUGCAAAGGGAUAUACUAUGAAAACUUGAUUUUAAAAGUUUUGCCAUUAAUAGCAUACUUUCAUAUAGCUCUUGAUGUUCACAUUGCAAGUGCUUUAAUGUACAUUUGAAAAUCCUUUAUUUCUGUCUCCAAUUUCUCUUCUCUUGACCCUAUUUUAAAGUGCUCAACAGCUCAUGGAAAACAGUUUAAAUAUCCUGGGGAAAAAUAUGUCAAAUAUACCCAGAAAAAUAUUUUCAGAUUGAUUCAGUCCUCUGAGGGCAAGGAGACACCCUCUGAAUAGCUGAAUGCAUGCAUUUCUAGGUCUCGUACUGUAUGCUUGAAUGUACUUUCUCCAAUCAAACACAAGAGUAAAAUACCACUUGGAGGGUCUGCUGAUUUUUCUCUUCACUGAACAGUGUGUCUCUUCAGCAGUUUAUAAAUAACUAAUGAAUAAUAGUGCAAGGGUUCAAAAACUAUUCAUUAUCAUUUUUCAGAACCCAGCACUGUAUUUGUAGCUAGCUCUCUUUCAGAGUGGGAUGUCUGUGGUACAUGAAUACUUAAAAGUGGUUUUACAAAUGCCUCAAGUGUUUUAAGCAGGCAUCAGUUGUUGGCAAAGGUGAUUUGCUGGGGAUUCACUGCUCUGGUAUAAGCCUGUAUUCAUAGUACUAAAAAGUGUGACUUAACAUACUUGUCUGGUUUUCUGCUAUAAAAAUUACAAGCAAACCUGACUAACCUAUUUUUAGCAUCAGACAAGCGUCUUACCUAAAUGACAGGCUGAAAAUAUAUUGUUUGCCAUGACAGUAGCUAUUCAGUAGUCUAAGCAGAAAAUCUAAACUACAAAAUGUUAUUAAUCUAUGGCGAACAUACACUGCCAUCUUCUACAAAGAGACUCUAAAUAAAGGAUCAAAUCUUG